rnacentral:lncRNA from 15 species
AUGGACGGAGCAGCAGCACAUGAAGUCUGCUCUGCCUCCGGCGAGUUUCCUGCUCUGCUUGUUCAACUGAAGAAAUGCUUAAACUCCCCCUCAGGUAGCCUACACUGGUCAAGAGCAACCGACCUGCACCACAUGGUGCUGUUUCCCAGAGGAAGAAGACCAGUGAUGGCUGAAAGGAACCCUCGUGUGCAGUUCAAUUUCCAGAGUCAGCUCUCCUGUGCCUCCGUGUCUCCGGUCUCUCUUGCCAUUUCACCUGUCUGUUCCUCCCGUGGCCGUCCCUCAUCCCCGCCAGUGUGUGUGGAAUAAAGACCCUUAAACUGUCCAUCUGGUCUGUGCGUCUGCUCCUGGGUUCAGUCAACUAGCCCUGACAAGUUCGUUUCUGAGGUCUGGGAGCACAACAAUAUUGUUAAAAAGAAGUCAUGUCAGGCAGGUUUUUAUAGCAUCUAGCAGUGUAGUUGAUUGCCAAUCCAAUUUCAGAUGAUUAUACACUAAUGAAAAUAUAGUUAUGCAUAUUACAAUAGAUAUUACAAUAGCUCUUACAAUAAAUAGAUCCUACUAAAUGUUACACACUGGACCGUUAAGAGUCUAGUUGAAAUCAGUAAACAUAUGUAGCCUUCAGGUGAAUAGCAACUAGAAAUUGAAUAGGAUGUUGGUGUUUGGUGUUGAUAAGGUGCGAAGCUGUGUUACAUAAGCAAAGUUAGUUAUUACAGUAAAAAACAUAAUGCAUAAUCUACUACCAUAAGCUAUGCUGGUCUUUUUCCAACAUGUUGAUUUGCAUCCAGUCCAGUUCAUGUCAAGAGCUGUCGCAAUAACAGCGAUAAUGAAAUACCACACUGUUGACAAGCCAACCACAGGAGACGGAAAGCCACCGUCACAACCGCUCAUCACAUCACAUCAUCAUGUCUCGUUCAGUAUUUGUUUUUUAAGACAGGAGAGCGUCCCCGAGCAGAAGCAUGGUCUGAAAUGUAUUGCUACUCAGUAGCCCCACGGUUUACAGGACUACAAUGCCACACAGGAGAAAAUCACGUAGGCUCCACCUCACUAGCUCUGCAAACACCAGCAGUGUCGUAGUAGAAGACGCAGCAUGGUCCGCUAAUUAUCCCAGUUCACCACAGCUGUGUGUGACCCUGUUGACUGGCGACUUUCAGCAGAAUAUGUUAACGAACUUGUGACUUGUUUUGGCUGAAAGUCGCCAGUUUACCAGGUGACAGACUCAGGAGAGAGAGUGCAGAUGAUUAGUUCAAGCAGGUACUGAGAUGAAACAUCAUCCAGCUGUAUCCAUUACAAAGUGAUAAGCAACAACAACAAAAAAUUACAAUGACACCGCACGCCGAGCUGUUGAGCUACCCCAAACAACGCAAGGGAAAUUCCUAUACUAUGACAGCUAUAUCAAUGUCUUUUGUGAUUUGUGAGCAAAGUCAAAACAGCAAAUAAAAUAAUAAUAAUGACAGUUAUUUUAAAGAGUGAUAGUUAAUUAACAUAUUUUUAAUCCAAUUACAACCAAAUCUAAGUCCUUUAAAGGUGUUUUAAUGAGCUGAGUGUUUCUUUACUGUAGCGGUUAUCAAAAUAUUACAAUCCUUGUAAAUUCACAGACUGAACAAAUCCUGGCAUACACCUACAUCAGCUUUGAUUGACACCCCCCUCAACAAGCUUCAACAGAGGCUCCUGUUGUGAAAACAGUAUUGUUUGCUUUUAGUGACCUCAGUCUAUACCUCGAUGUAAAACAGCCUGGAUCCUCCAAAGUGUCUUGGCAUUUAAAUAGUUUUAGCUGACCUGCAAGUCUGUGGGACUGAAGCGAUCUGAAUGCUGAGGCUUUUAAGAGGAUGCCCAGCUCUACCAUGGAGCAGCACAAACUGACAACAGACCAAGGUUUAUGUAUAUAUUUAGAUUUAUAAUUCAGCUCCUACACUCAGUUUUCUUCCCUGAAGCCACAACCAGAGGAACACACAUGAGCUGCAUGACCUUUCAGCAGAAGAUUGAGCAAGGAAAAAGAAAGCAAUGUCAGGUAAAUUAAAGAAAACCUUCGUUAUGACUAAAAGCCCCCCAUCAAGCUUUGUAUGUGAUACUUUGCAUGUAUAUCUUGUCAUUUAUGUCUCCUAUAAACUACAAAAGCAGCUUCCAGUCUAAGCAGUUGAAUCUCUCCCUCUCUUUGUCAUCCUAUCUCCCCCCUAUCCCGUCCCUCUCCUCCUCCCUCAGCAAUGAUGGUUCAGGAUAACCUCGGGGUCUGAGGAGAAUUAGAAAUGAAAGUUGAUUUAAUCAGUCGCUCACUCACAUACACCUCCUCAGUCCAGGUUAGAGGGGGACAAGGUUGUGUGUGCUACUGCGUGUGUGUGUGUGUGUGUGUGUGUGUGUGUGUGUGUGUGUGUGUGUGUGUGUGUGUGUGUGUGUGUGUGUGUGUGUGUGUGUGUGUGUGUGUGUGUGCGUCAUCAAAACACGGCAGCUCACUCCAAAGUCCCUAAAUCAGCCAGGACAUUUCUAUUGUCAACACAACACUAACAGCAAUGCUGAGGCCAUCUGUUUUAAUGGGAAAGUGUCCAACAAGCAGCUUUAGAACCUGUUCAUUCACAUAAACAUGUUGUUAGGACUACUGUACAUUAACACGAGACAGAACAAGUACAGUUGUCUUGAAAAAAUUUAAAUGCUAUUUUCCCCCAAGUGAUAUCAUUGUAUUUUGUAUUAGCCAGGCUGAUAGAAAAGUAGUUUUGUGCAAAGUUGAAUGUGCAAUGUCAUUAGUAGUUUUUUAUCAAUCUGAUAAGCCCCUUGAUGAUCAUAAUAAACUUACCCAGUAUAGUUGUGGUAUAAUCCAAUUUUUCCUCAAGAGUUGUGAUAAUUUUCCUCAAUUUGUGAGAAAUACUGAGGUCAUGAGUCUAAUUCCCCCCACAUUUGACAUUAAAUUAAAGUCUGUAUAAAGGAGUGAAAUACUGACCUUUAUUUGUUUUCUUUUUUGUUUUGUAAUAAUAUUUGGUUAUUAUUUUGAAAUAAAACAAUAACAACAUGCUCACAAGAGCAGCAGCUUAUUUGCCAUUCCCUUGAGGGAUGAAUACUUGUUUUUGCAGCCUGUCACACAGAAAACAAAAUGGCAUUAAACAUCAUACAGUAUGUUUUAAAUGUGUGAUAAGGAGCAGUGGAUGAUAUACAGAAAGGUGGUUUUGCGAGCCCUGUCUUUGACAAAGUAAUAGGGAAGUCAGUCAGAUAAAGGAGAUGUCUCUUGUUGACAGAUUUUCAAUGGGCGAUACUGCGAGAGCCCAUUUCAACCUGGUCGGGGGUGGAUUUCACUGUGUGCUGUAGAAGCCUAUUUGUUGUGGAAAGGAUUACGGUGACCGAUCUAGUCGCAAACAAGAUUAGUGGCAGCGGAUCAUGUUUGAUUGGGAAGCUCCAAAACAUCCCUCACAACUGUGAGACAAGUUGUUGUCCUGCUUGUAGCCUGCAUGAAGGAAAUCACAGAAUACACAUGCAAAUAAAUCAGGACAGGAGGACAAUCUGUUCUUUACUUCACUCUCUCUGACCAACCCACUUCCAUGGCUCACUGUUUUAUGUUGUUGCAGAUCUGUCCGACUCACUCUGAAAAGCAGGAGACAACAAAGCACACUCCAAAGUCAUUUUGUCUUUGAUUUCGAGAUCGAGCUGUAGAGUCAUGUCUUUUUAUAGAGACACACACACACACACACACACACACACACACACACACACACACACACAGAUGCAGACACACUCAUACAACCACGGUCACACACAGUCAGGAGUAUCUGUAAUCCCUGGUUGAGACAGGCAGACACCCCCGGUGCAUCACUCUCCCGUUCAUUUCAUAGAUCUGUCAUCGUCCCUGGACAAAAGCACCUCACCAGGAUGACUAAUCUGUGCUCGGCUCGCUGUCCUGGCUGACUCAGGCUGCCAUGUCGAUUCUAUUUCAGACGUGACUCAGCGACCGUUGAAGCGAGCUAUGAUUGGAAUGGAGACAAGUCACACAAAGGGGAGACAGAGACAAAGAUGGAAAGAGAGCAACAGUGAGGGGGAGAAAGAGGAAUUCUAUUUAUUCUCAACUCAUUAAAACUUCUUCAGAAGCUACGAGAUGACUUGAGGCAUAGCAGUGCUUAUAUUAUCCUGUGUGUGAGUUAGUGUCUCAGUCCUCUCUCAUCUCCACUCCAGCAGUGACAGUGAAGGCUCCAGGGCUGACACAGAGGACAGCCCACCUCAGUCUGGCCCAGAAACCCUCACCUGGGCCACUAAGCGUACCCAUCCAGACAGUGAUGCUGCGUAGCUAGGGAGGCUGGGACAGGAGUGGUUUUGCAAGUUGGGGUGCAGGAUGAUAGGCUGUCAUAACAAAUGCACUCUAACACCCACAAACUUUCAAACACACACACAUAGAGAGAACAUACAUACAUCAGCAUGAUGAUACGUGGGAGAAACUGCGUUACUGUUUUUCCCCUCACUUCGUCUUUCUCCCAACCCCACUCACCACCAAAACCACCAACCUGCAGUGUCCUGACAUAUCAUCCUCAGUGACCCAAAUUGUUUAGCUAAGCAGAGUCUGACAUACAUGCACACCGGCAUGUAUACACACACACAGACACUCAAAUAUACCAAGACAAACACUCCCUCACACACAUUCAUACCGACAUGGGGUAACUUGCAUAAAGGAGCACAUGCAUGCUUGAUUGAACUGUUCACAAAUACAUGUGAACAUUCACAUAUAACCACCAAAAGCACACACUGUGCUUUUUCCUGGGAACUGCAGAAGAUAUUAUUUAGUAACAUAAAAAUAUAUUCUUUUAAUAUGGACAAAAACUGAGGAAUGUAUUUUCAAUAGGAGGUAGAAAACCUAAUUCUUUAAAUUUUUGAUGCAUCCACAAACACUCUUUUAACACUGUUAAAA